UAUUAUUAUUUGAUGACGCCCUUAGUCUGUGUACUACGGUAGCAGUCGCACUGUUAUUCUGUUCUUGUAUGAAGGUACGUCCUAAUGUGACGUCACUACGUUGACUAGGUACGUCCUAAUGUGACGUCACUACGUUGACUGUUGUCAGUCUGUGAAUAAACUUACCGGAGACAUGCUGAAGAGAA